GAGGCUAUUAAAUACCUGCCAAAUGGAACAAGACAGUGAGCAAAUGACAGUUUAGCUAAAUCAAACUUUUUAUGUUUUCAUUCUUGGGUGCACUGAUAACUCCUAACAAACGACCUGAAUUAUUCAAUUAGCCUCUUUUUCACCCAACAACACCGCUCCACACCUUAAAGGAAGAAAGGGAAAAAGAAGAAAACCAAAGUAAGCUAUCAUCAAUUUUCACCAGCAAUCAAAUGUUGAAGGCAAGCACACCAUGCUUUUGUCCUCUAGAUUUUUCUCCUCCUUUUAUAAAAGGAGAAAGAAAAUGUCAAAACAAUCCUACUUUGGGAACUAUGGGAGCAGGCAACAUACUUUUACUUAAGAGUCUUUUCUUAAAACAAAUAAUGCUUUGACAAUAGCCAGCAAAGGGACCAUCUAAUUUGUGAGAAAGAAUAGCACUGUCCAGUGACAAAGAUACAUCAACUUUUAAAACAAUCAUGACAAAUCAUUCCUAUCUGCCUUCUAGGAGACGCUUUGUUUGCCAAGCAAAUCAAGUCAAAAUGUUCAGAAAACAGAAAAAUGACACACAGCAUGACAACAACCACAUAAACUGUGUACUCUUCUUUUUGGGAGUGUGUCUGCUGUGUGUGCGUUCAUUGCAACACUUGAUUAACCUCUCUUUUAGUCUAGCCCAAACAUAAACCACUGACCAUUGCAACUGAAGGAACACAACAAAUUGAGGAACAAAAGUGCCCCAAAGAAAUAGAUUCCACACUGGGUUGUAUGCUAAGUAAUGUGUCUCCCACAAAAGAAGGGAAGGGAAUGUUCUCAAAUCUCAGGUUCAAACUCAGGAUAUGUGGGACAAGGCUGGACAUUUAGACCCGUGUUAAUACUAACGGGACAAGCUUAUCCAAAAACUUAUACACAGACAGAUCUUAUUUUGCUUAAUCUUAGGCAAACUAUUCUCUUAUAAAUGGGACAUAUGCUAUCCAACAAUUUGUGAUUUCAUUAUCAAUGGAAUAUUUGAAAUCAUUUUAUGCACUGUUAGGGUUAUCGAACCCUAACAAAUGUUUCUUCCUAAAAUAGAAUAGAAC
rnacentral:misc_RNA from 1 species